rnacentral:rRNA from 1 species
UACGUAGGGAGCAAGCGUUAUCCGGAUUUAUUGGGUGUAAAGGGUGCGUAGACGGGAAAACAAGUUAGUUGUGAAAUCCCUUGGCUUAACUGAGGAACUGCAACUAAAACUAUUAUUCUUGAGUGCUGGAGGGGAAAGUGGAAUUCCUAGUGUAGCUGUGAAAUGCGUAGAUAUUAGGAGGAACACCGGUGGCGAAGGCGACUUUCUGGACAGUAACUGACGUUGAGGCACGAAAGUGUGGGGAGCAAACAGG